rnacentral:rRNA from 1 species
GGCGCACGGGUGAGUAACGCGUGGGUAACCUGCCCUAGAGUGGGGGAUAACCAGCCGAAAGGCUGACUAAUCCCGCAUACGACCGGCAGACACAAGUCUGCUGGGGAAAGAUGGCCUCUGCUUGCAAGCUAUCGCUCUUGGAUGGGCCUGCGUUGGAUUAGCUAGUUGGUGAGGUAAUGGCUCACCAAGGCUGCGAUCCAUAGCUGGUUUGAGAGGACGACCAGCCACACUGGAACUGAGACACGGUCCAGACUCCUACGGGAGGCAGCAGUGAGGAAUAUUGCGCAAUGGGGGAAACCCUGACGCAGCGACGCCGUGUGAGCGAUGAAGGCCUUCGGGUCGUAAAGCUCUGUCAGAGGGAAAGAAAGGGCCGGAGGAAUAAUACCCUUCGGCAUUGACGGUACCCUCAGAGGAAGCACCGGCUAACUCCGUGCCAGCAGCCGCGGUAAUACGAAGGGUGCAAGCGUUAAUCGGAAUUACUGGGCGUAAAGCGCGCGUAGGUGGUUCAGCAAGUUGG